rnacentral:rRNA from 1 species
CGAGGAACCUUACCUGGGCUCGAACGUAAGAUGACUGUAGGUGAAAGCUUACAUCUCUUCGGAGCAUUUUACGAGGUGCUGCAUGGUUGUCGUCAGCUCGUGCCGUGAGGUGUCGGGUUAAGUCCCAUAACGAGCGCAACCCUACCUUUAGUUGCCAUCAGGUAAUGCUGAGGACUCUAAAGGAACUGCCUACGCAAGUAGUGAGGAAGGCGGGGAUGACGUCAAAUCAGCACGGCCCUUACGUCCAGGGCUACACACGUGCUACAAUGGCCGAUACAGAGGGCAGCUACCUGGUGACAGGAUGCAAAUCUCCAAAGUCGGUCUCAGUUCGGAUCGGAGUCUGCAACCCGACUCCGUGAAGUUGGAUUCGCUAGUAAUCGCGCAUCAGCCAUGGCGCGGUGAAUACGUUCCCGGGCCUU